rnacentral:rRNA from 1 species
UACGUAGGGGGCUAGCGUUGUCCGGAAUCAUUGGGCGUAAAGCGCGUGUAGGCGGUCCGGUAAGUCCGCUGUGAAAGUCGGGGGCUCAACCCUCGGAUGCCGGUGGAUACUGUCGGGCUUGAGUACGGAAGAGGCGAGUGGAAUUCCUGGUGUAGCGGUGAAAUGCGCAGAUAUCAGGAGGAACACCAAUUGCGAAGGCAGCUCGCUGGGACGUUACUGACGCUGAGACGCGAAAGCGUGGGGAGCAACAGG